ACCAGGCGUGGUGGCCCAUGCCUGUAAUCCCAGCAGCUCCGGAGGCUGAGGCAGGAGGAUUUCGAGCUUAAAGCCAGUCUGAGCUAAGGCAAGGUGCUAAACAACUCAGUGAGACCCUGUCUCUA
rnacentral:sRNA from 1 species